GGGGCUGUGGCUCAGUGGUAAAGCAUCUGCUUGUGAUGCAGAACAUCUGAGAGUCAAUACCUGCAUCA
rnacentral:tRNA from 1 species